rnacentral:rRNA from 1 species
AGUGAGCGCUGGCGGUAGGCCUAACACAUGCAAGUCGAACGGCAGCACAGUAAGAGCUUGCUCUUACGGGUGGCGAGUGGCGGACGGGUGAGGAAUACAUCCGAAUCUACUUUUUCGUGGGGGAUAACGUAGGGAAACUUACGCUAAUACCGCAUACGACCUACGGGUGAAAGCAGGGGAUCUUCGGACCUUGCGCGAUUGAAUGAGCCGAUGUCGGAUUAGCUAGUUGGCGGGGUAAAGGCCCACCAAGGCGACGAUCCGUAGCUGGUCUGAGAGGAUGAUCAGCCACACUGGAACUGAGACACGGUCCAGACUCCUGCGGGAGGCAGCAGUGGGGAAUAUUGGACAAUGGGCGCAAGCCUGAUCCAGCCAUGCCGCGUGGGUGAAGAAGGCCUUCGGGUUGUAAAGCCCUUUUGUUGGGAAAGAAAAGCAGCAGGUUAAUACCCCGCUGUUCUGACGGUACCCAAAGAAUAAGCACCGGCUAACUUCGUG